rnacentral:sRNA from 1 species
UCUUAUCUCAUAAGCAGGACAUUCCCUUUCUAAACCACAUGUGAUCGCCUUAUUGGAACAAUGGAAAGAGCCUGAAGUGACAGUGAGGAAAGAUGGAAGAAGAUGGUGCACAGAUUUGCAGUUGGAAGAUGAUACAAUCGGCCAUAAAGAAAUGCCCACCUCUGAAAACUGUCCAUCUUUUGCUCUACAUCAGAAAAUAAGUAGACAGAAACCAUGUGAAUGUCGGGAAUAUGGAAAGACUCUUUGUCAAGACUCAAAGCCUGUUCAACAUGAAAGAAUACAUAGUAGUGAAAAACCCAACAGAUGUAAAGAAUGUG